rnacentral:rRNA from 1 species
UCCUUUAAAGAAAGCGUAAUAGCUCACUAGUCGAAUCGGCCUGCGCGGAAGAUAUAACGGGGCUCAAACUAUACACCGAAGCUACGGACGCAUGCUUGCAUGCGUGGUAGAGGAGCGUUCUGUAGGCCGUUGAAGGGAAAGCUGAGAGGCAUCCUGGAGGUAUCAGAAGUGCGAAUGCUGACAUGAGUAACGAUAAGGGGAGUGAAAAGCUCCCCCGCCGGAAGACCAAGGUUUCCUAUCCAAUGCUAAUCAGGGUAGGGUGAGUCGGCCCCUAAGGCGAGGCUGAAGAGCGUAGUCGAUGGGAAGCAGGUUAAUAUUCCUGCACCACUCAAUAUUGCGAAGGAGGGACGGAGAAGGCUAGUCCAGCGCGGCGUUGGUUGUCCGCGUUUAAGCGUGUAGGCUUAAAUCUUAGGUAAAUCCGGGAUUUUUUAAGGCUGAGGCGUGAUGACGAGGUCCAUUAGGACUGAAGUGGUUGAUGCCAUGCUUCCAGGAAAAGCUUCUAAGCUAUAGAUAUUGAGUGACCGUACCCCAAACCGACACAGGUGGUCAGGUAGAGAAUACCAAGGCGCUUGAGAGAACUCGGGUGAAGGAACUAGGCAAAAUGGUACCGUAACUUCGGGAGAAGGUACGCCGCUGAUGGUGAUGGGACUUGCUCCCUAAGCUGUUGGCGGCCGAAGAUACCAGGUGGCUGCGACUGUUUAUUAAAAACACAGCACUGUGCAAACACGAAAGUGGACGUAUACGGUGUGACGCCUGCCCGGUGCCGGAAGGUUAAUUGAUGAGGUUAGCGCAAGCGAAGCUUUUGAUCGAAGCCCCGGUAAACGGCGGCCGUAACUAUAACGGUCCUAAGGUAGCGAAAUUCCUUGUCGGGUAAGUUCCGACCUGCACGAAUGGCGUAACGACGGCCACACUGUCUCCACCCGAGACUCAGUGAAAUUGAAAUCGCUGUUAAGAUGCAGUGUAUCCGCGGCUAGACGGAAAGACCCCGUGAACCUUUACUAUAGCUUCACAGUGAACUUUGAACCUAUUUGUGUAGGAUAGGUGGGAGGCUUUGAAACUGGGACGCUAGUCUCAGUGGAGCCAAACUUGAAAUACCACCCUGGUAUGUUUGAGGUUCUAACUCAGGUCCGUAAUCCGGAUCGAGGACACUGUGUGGUGGGUAGUUUGACUGGGGCGGUCUCCUCCCAAAGAGUAACGGAGGAGCACGAAGGUAUGCUAAUCAUGGUCGGAAAUCAUGAGGUUAGUGCAAUGGCAUAAGCAUGCUUAACUGCGAGACAGACACGUCGAGCAGAUACGAAAGUAGGUCAUAGUGAUCCGGUGGUUCUGAAUGGAAGGGCCAUCGCUCAACGGAUAAAAGGUACUCCGGGGAUAACAGGCUGAUACCGCCCAAGAGUUCACAUCGACGGCGGUGUUUGGCACCUCGAUGUCGGCUCAUCACAUCCUGGGGCUGAAGCCGGUCCCAAGGGUAUGGCUGUUCGCCAUUUAAAGUGGUACGCGAGCUGGGUUUAGAACGUCGUGAGACAGUUCGGUCCCUAUCUGCCGUGGACGUUUGAGAUUUGAGAAGAGUUGCUCCUAGUACGAGAGGACCGGAGUGAACGAACCUCUGGUGUUCCGGUUGUCACGCCAGUGGCAUUGCCGGGUAGCUACGUUCGGACAGGAUAACCGCUGAAAGCAUCUAAGCGGGAAGCCCCCUUCAAGAUGAGAUCUCACAGGACUUUAAGUCCCUAAAGAGCCGUUCAAGACUAGGACGUUGAUAGGUUGGGUGUGUAAGCACGGUAACGUGUUGAGCUAACCAAUACUAAUUGCUCGUGAGGCUUGACC